GGGAAAGAAAAAAUAGAUGUUCAGACUCAACCUCUCUCUCUUCUCUCGGAGGCCCAGCUCCCCAACGCUCUCUCUCUCUCUCUCUCAUACACACAUAAACGCCAGACCUUCAAGAAACCACCCAUUUAUUGAUCGUGAACAAGAAGCCGCAAAGAACGAAAAGCACCGCAACCUCAAGAAAGAGCUCCAUCAAUCCACAGAGCCUGAUCCUCUUGCUCCUCAGAUGCUCCCUCACAAUCUCCGUUUUCAGAUCUCCGAUCUCUCUCCUUAGCGGCUUCUCCAUCUCCUGAAUCACAAAACCAUCAACUCCGGUCAUCAAUUACAGAAACAGAUCGAAAAUCAAUUUUUAUGGUUUUUCUAGCUGCUGAGCUUGAACUUCUUCACAGGCCUUUACUCAGAUGGGUGUAUUUGGUAAAUUACAACCGACAAUAAAUCCAUGUCGUCCUCAGCCCUCAAGUCCAAGAAGGGAAAGACACGUUAUAUAUCUUCCUCUCAACGUCAGUUCGAUCUCUCUCUCUUUUCUUGUUUGUUAAUAGUAUCUGAAUUGUGUGUGGGUCAGAGGUCGGUGAAGAAGAAAGGGCUGUAUUCUUUACCCCCAGUCGUGGCAGGCUUCUUUAUCACUUGUGAUCGUGCUGCUGCUUUAUAUGCAAAAGUAUCCAAUUUCUCUCUUAAUGUCUAUGGUCUGAAUAGAAAGAGAGUUUAGGGGUGUAUUGGGAUGGCUUUUCGUGGAGAUGCAAAGCUGGGUUUUGGAUGGUAAAUUACCUAUUUGCGUUUUUGGAUGGUAAAAAAGCUGGGUAUCUCUUUCAUGAACUGCAGAGGCUGCACUGAAGGAAUUGAGGAAUAGGUUCCUACCUAUUUACCUAUCUACCUGACUGCCUCUUUGUUUCUAGAAAGUCUUUAUAUUGUACUUUCUUUAUUUUAGGAGAGCUUUUAAGGUCUUGAUUGCUUUAUUUUUGCUGGAUCUAGAGGGAUUCAGAGUUCUAAAUUCAAAGACCUUCAGAAACUCAUUGCCAACAAAUUAGAAUGCUCAGUAGUAAAGAAAGAGGCAGUGAAUGAAUCAAGUCCUAUUAAGGUUUUGGUUGCUGCCUAUACAAGAGGCAGUUUUCUUUUCUAUUUGAGUUUCAGUUCACUUGAGUAGGACUUUUCAUGAAUGAAAUACAAUGCUCUACCAUGUUUUUCCUAUAUAUUCAAAUGGCUGUAAUUUAUGCUUAUUCCACAUUUUUUAUUCUUCAGACCAAAUCAAAGUAUUGCUUGACCAACAAGAGAGGUUGUAUGAAAGACAAGCUGAACUACAAGCUCUACUGGAAGCUUCCAAAGGUCCUGGACCCCCUGUUAAUGGGGCUUCAACAGCCACAGAAGGCUGGUCUGGAUCAUCGCGAGUGCUUGACCUAGAAGAGAUUCUCGAGUGAUGCGGCCGGGACGAUGAUUCCGAAUCACCUACUGCAGAUUCUCAUGAUUUACUUAACGACAGCGCAGUAUUUCUUCGGAGUAGAGUUGAAAGGGUAGUAUCUGAUUGCUCUGACGUUGGUCUGUUAGGGGAUCAAGAUUUUGAAGCAUAUAUGGGACGUUUUGAGCAGGAGCUUAGCUCCAUGGAGGCCGAGAAUGCUAAGGUUUCCAAUGAAAUUUGAGGGUCUAGUUCGAACCCAUGAGGAAGAUGAGGGUACUAUCUUGGUCUGGCAUGCUACUGCACAUUGACUUGUGUAUUAUAUUCUUUUCCGAUGAUCUAUUGGCUUGCUUUGAGGAGGAAAAGGUAGCAUCAGAAGUUCUCUUAGCUGCACCCUGGUAAAAAGUACUGUUUGAUUACACAGAUCCUACGCCAAAAUGAAUGCUUUUUUGCCUCAAGGUUUGCUUUUUACAAUCUUAAUUUCAUUUCAUUUUUUGUUUUCAAUUUGUGUAACCAUAAAUUUAUCUAAAACAAUGCCUUUUGGUUAUUGAUUUGGAAAAUGAAAAAUGGAAUAACCCUUCACCAAGAAUGUUGGAUGCAACUAACAGUUGUAAACUAAUUUUCAUAGUCUUGCUUUUGGUUAGAUUUCUGCUCAGUCUGGCCUAUUAUAGUUUGUACAGUCAUCCACUAUUGUUGUGCAGGGACGUGUGAAGUGAUGGCAAAAAUCAUGGAAGUCUAGGUUGCUAGAGCUAUUGUUAGCAUGAUUGGUCAGUUUGGUAUUGAGUUCUACUCUGCAUAUCUUGUUGCUGAGAAGGAAGAGGAAGGAACUGUAUAGAGGAAGUUGAUGGAGAGAAGGAAAUGGACAAGUACAAUAUGUUUCUGGCCUUGAUGUUUUUGGCCUUUAUGUUUAGGUAGGAUUAGUAUGUUGAUGUUGGGAUGAUGAUGUAAUGAACUGGUUUUGAAUGUUCAAUCAAUGGAUGUGUUUUUGAAUGUGUUA